GAGGAAUUUUGCGCAAUGGGGGAAACCCUGACGCAGCGACGCCGCGUGGAGGAUGGAGGCCUUCGGGUCGUAAACUCCUGUCAGAGGUGAAGAAUGCCCGCAAGGGUUUGACGGUAACCUCAGAGGAAGCCCCGGCUAACUACGUGCCAGCAGCCGCGGUAAUACGUAGGGGGCAAACGUUACUCGGGAUUACUGGGCGUAAAGGGUGCGUAGGCGGCUGGGAAAGUCAAGGAUGAAAUCCCGUGGCUCAACUGCGGAACGGUCCUUGAAACUACUCGGCUUGAGGAUAACCGAAGAGAACGGAAUUCCCGGUGGAGCGGUGAAAUGCGUAGAUAUCGGGAGGAACACCUGAGGAGAAAGCGGUUCUCUAGACUACUCCUGACGCUGAGGCACGAAAGCUAGGGGAGCAAACGG
rnacentral:rRNA from 1 species